AUGGAAUAGGGCAUUUCCAGAGGGGAAACUGGGAAAGGAGAUAAAAUUUCAAGUGUAAAUAAAUAAAAUAUUCAAUACAAAAAAAGUAGUCUGGACCAAGAGAACAAGAGACUGACAAAGCCAAAGUAUCUGUGUUAUAACAAUAACAAUAUUGUUAAUUAUAACAGUUAUAUAAAAAUCAGGCUAGGGAAAGGGAAAGCCCAGCCCCAGGUUGGGGGCGGGAUGAGAAGUGUUGGGAGGAACCCCCAGUAAGGAGUGGUGCUGCCCAAGCUGGGAGGAGCUGGCCAGCAGUGGCUUCCAUAAGCAUGUCAGCCAGCUAUUGGUUUCUGAAAGGUAGCCUCUACAAACCUGAGUUGCUGAGUCUUGGUGUGGUAGCAAGCUCUGGUUGUCAUACACAAAAUGCUCAAAUGAAGGCCAGCUGAUAAAAAGAAAAACACUAAGCCUAAUGGUAUAUAUCUAUCGUCUGCCACCUUUUACCCAAGGAAUACAUGUCAAGUCAACAUGUUAGGAGUUUCAGCAAUAUUUACUAAUCUUUGCUAUGAGUCCAGUGUCUUAGUUAACGUGUAGUGCUGCUAUCCUGUUGUUUACUGCAUUUUAUUCUUGCUUUGUCUCUCAUCACUGUAAAUCAUAAUCGAUAAAGCGCAUCACUAUGACAAGCGUCAUGCUUUUCUGGAGGUCACUCUUCCUGGGAGUGCGUCAAUGUAAAAUGUGUCUUCCUAUUUUAAAACUUUCGAUGAGUCUUUGGCAUCUACAUAACAGCUCAGUCUCCAGUUUUUCCCCCAGUCUUCCACUUCUGUCAAGAAAUCACAAGUCCAGGUCUUGCCUCCAUUUAAUAAUUGUGCUCCACUGGAGAGUUUCAAGUAUUCAAGUCUACAGCUCAUAUGUCUUCAUAGGCGUCCCUAACUGAAAUUAAUGGAGAAGAUGACAAAUUUAUAAAACUUCAUUUUUUGUCUUCUGAAAAUAUGUAUUCAUCAAUCUUUUUAAAACUGUCUCUGUGAUUUUGUUUAUUAUUCAUCUCACUGCUCGCAAAACGGACACAAAAUGUCAGAGAAAUAUUUGCUGUGUUUUCCAAAGGGGAAUUUAGAGAGGGAGUAAAGAAUAAGUUGUGGGGUAGAUAAUACCGAUUUUAAAUGCUGUUGCUAGACAACAGCUGCUGAUUAUGGGAAGUUUCUGAAGUUCUCCAUAUAAGUUGUCUCGUGUAUGAAGUGACCAAUAACUUUAAAAACUUUUGGAUCGUAAAUCUGUCAAGAGACAGAUUGAACUAGAGUAUGUAAAGUAUUUGUAGAUCUUAACAUACAAUGACCUGUGUACUGAAGUUAAUGAUGUUAAUUAGCUAUUGUUAAUUACAAUAACUUCUGUAAUCUCAGAAGCUCACAUUGCACUUGACUCAGCCCCGCUGUCAAUCAAUAUUAUGCUGGUGAAUGAAUAACAUGAGUUAAUGAUUACUGUAAGUAGCACAAAUUCCGUAGUGCCAUUUUUAUAAUAUUUACCCCCGUUGAUUUCCUUAUUAUUAUGGCUUAUUUCUUCAGAAAUUAUCUUUAUCUGUGCAAGAGAAUUCACUCCAACUCAGUCAGCCAUAUAGUUAGUAGAGCUCUGCCAGAUCUGUGGAGCAGAGAGAAAAUGAAUGGGCUGGAAAUGAAGUUAUUAGUGGAGUGGCCUCAUGCCACGGCAGCUUCUCUUUUGUUAAUAUUAAAAAAACGAUUUCUUCACACAGCAUCCAAAAUAGCUACUUAACAAUAUAAAGUGGGGCAUGUUUCUCCAUUCCAUAAAAGUUCCCAGUGGCUUCUUUUCACACACAG
rnacentral:lncRNA from 1 species